CGAAUCCAAAAACCAAAAUUGCAAACUUUGUGAGGAAGAAGAAGACGACACAGUAUUGAAGAAUACAAUCUCAAACCCUAGUAUGGAAUCUCUGUUUUAUGCUGGUGAAUCAAUGUCCGAUACACAACAAAAACUCAAGCUUUUGGUUGAUAAUGGUGAAUUGGUGAUUACGGAUUCGGAAGAGGAUCUAGAUAUGGAGAUUACGAGAAUCUGUUGGAAUUGAGUAUCCUAAACUAAAUCCUACAAGAAUAACAAGCUUGGUGAGAAGAAGAAGAUGAAGAACAAAGGAAGAAGCAACGGAAGAAGAAGACGAUGGCGGAGAAGAGACGUCGUGAAGAGAGGAGUCAAAGGAAGAGAAGAAAGUCAACAAACCAAAUGGGUUUGUGUUUUGUGUGUUGGGUCAUAGGUAAUGAGAUAAGGCCCAUACGAAUAAGUGUUUUGUACAAGUUGUCUAGUUAAGGUCCAACAAGAAGAGGUUGUGACAACUAAAGUAAACUAAGAGAGUGAAUUAAGGUGUUGGAGUUCCAACAUAGUAGAGUGGAUGAUGUAAGUCUUAGGACAAUGAUGUGGUCUAGAGUCUAAGUGUGUGUAGUCUACCAAGUGGAGCAAAACCACUAUAUGUAUGUGUUGUUUGUGUUGUGUAAGAGUAUCCAAGAAUAUUAUCAAAGUAGAAGAUUAAAAGAAAA